UACGGAGGAGGCAAGCGUUAUCCGGAAUUAUUGGGCGUAAAGCGUCCGUAGGUGGUUUAGUAAGUCGGAUGUGAAAGCUCGGAGCUCAACUCCGAAAUGGCAUUGGAAACUACCUUGCUCGAGGGUUGGAGGGGGGACUGGAAUUCUCGGUGUAGCAGUGAAAUGCGUAGAUAUCGAGAGGAACACCAGUGGCGAAGGCGAGUCCCUGGACAACUCCUGACACUGAGGCACGAAAGCUAGGGGAGCAGACAGG
rnacentral:rRNA from 1 species